rnacentral:rRNA from 1 species
CCUACGGGAGGCUGCAGUGGGGAAUAUUGGACAAUGGGGGGAACCCUGAUCCAGCCAUGCCGCGUGUGUGAAGAAGGCCCUCGGGUUGUAAAGCACUUUCAGUGAGGAAGAACGCCUGGUGGUUAAUACCCAUCAGGAAAGACAUCACUCACAGAAGAAGCACCGGCUAACUCCGUGCCAGCAGCCGCGGUAAUACGGAGGGUGCGAGCGUUAAUCGGAAUUACUGGGCGUAAAGCGCGCGUAGGUGGCUUGAUAAGCCGGUUGUGAAAGCCCCGGGCUCAACCUGGGAACGGCAUCCGGAACUGUCAAGCUAGAGUGCAGGAGAGGAAGGUAGAAUUCCCGGUGUAGCGGUGAAAUGCGUAGAGAUCGGGAGGAAUACCAGUGGCGAAGGCGGCCUUCUGGACUGACACUGACACUGAGGUGCGAAAGCGUGGGUAGCAAACAGGAUUAGAUACCCGGGUAGCC